AGCGUCGCAAAAAACACAAGACUACAGAGUUUUGGGCAGUUAAGAUAAUCGAUUCUGACGGCACAAUCAAGCCGGCAAGACUAAGCGUGAGGGAGGCUAUGGAAUGGCCUAACGGUAGGAAGAUCGUGCUCAGGUUCAACAACGCAAAGCAAGCAAUUGGAGACGAAGCUGGACUGUUGAGUGGCAUGCUUGGUCUGCUAGGAUCUAACUAUGGAAAAUUUUCUACCUGUGAGUAAAGUUGAUGUAAGAUUACCACUAAAGACAAGGUUUAUAACGAAUGCAUCAAAGGUAAUCUAGUAACUCAUUGGUACACAACAUUACAAUUUAUUUAGCAUUGAGUCUUUUUAAAUCAGUUUCUAAUUGCCCUUUGUCUCUGAUGGACCAACAGGAGAAGUGCAGGAAAAGCGCGUCUAAUCGAUCAAAGCAACUAUAUACCCACACUGGUGGUUCGAAAAGCUUUGCAUGGCGGAUGGAAGAAGAGUCAGAAGAACAAGGGAGAAGAGUCGGUAGAGGAGAGUUAUGGAUCAAAGUGCACAAAAAAAUAUGGCUCUUAUAUCAAUGAUGAAGCAAGAGUAAUUGGAGAAAAAAAUU